UUUUUGUGGAGGGUUCGAUUCUGGCUCAGGAUGAACGCUGGCGGCGUGCUUAACACAUGCAAGUCGAACGGGAUCCAUCAGGCUUUGCUUGGUGGUGAGAGUGGCGAACGGGUGAGUAAUGCGUGACCGACCUGCCCCAUACACCGGAAUAGCUCCUGGAAACGGGUGGUAAUGCCGGAUGCUCCAGUUGAUCGCAUGGUCUUCUGGGAAAGCUUUCGCGGUAUGGGAUGGGGUCGCGUCCUAUCAGCUUGACGGCGGGGUAACGGCCCACCGUGGCUUCGACGGGUAGCCGGCCUGAGAGGGCGACCGGCCACAUUGGGACUGAGAUACGGCCCAGACUCCUACGGGAGGCAGCAGUGGGGAAUAUUGCACAAUGGGCGCAAGCCUGAUGCAGCGACGCCGCGUGAGGGAUGGAGGCCUUCGGGUUGUAAACCUCUUUUAUCGGGGAGCAAGCGAGAGUGAGUUUACCCGUUGAAUAAGCACCGGCUAACUACGUGCCAGCAGCCGCGGUAAUACGUAGGGUGCAAGCGUUAUCCGGAAUUAUUGGGCGUAAAGGGCUCGUAGGCGGUUCGUCGCGUCCGGUGUGAAAGUCCAUCGCUUAACGGUGGAUCCGCGCCGGGUACGGGCGGGCUUGAGUGCGGUAGGGGAGACUGGAAUUCCCGGUGUAACGGUGGAAUGUGUAGAUAUCGGGAAGAACACCAAUGGCGAAGGCAGGUCUCUGGGCCGUUACUGACGCUGAGGAGCGAAAGCGUGGGGAGCGAACAGGAUUAGAUACCCUGGUAGUCCACGCCGUAAACGGUGGAUGCUGGAUGUGGGGCCCGUUCCACGGGUUCCGUGUCGGAGCUAACGCGUUAAGCAUCCCGCCUGGGGAGUACGGCCGCAAGGCUAAAACUCAAAGAAAUUGACGGGGGCCCGCACAAGCGGCGGAGCAUGCGGAUUAAUUCGAUGCAACGCGAAGA
rnacentral:rRNA from 1 species